UGGCCUGCACCGUCCGAAACACCCGAUCCGUCCAACCCGAAUAAAGAUGGGUUCAUCGGGUGAAAGUUUAAUAACGGGUUUAGAGAUGUAGAAACCAUCGAAACCGUGAAACUGAAUGAAUCACUUCUCCUCACUGCGAUACCCUACCCACUGUCGCCCUCUUCAGCUUCUCCCCAUUUUAUUUCAGCCUGUUAGUCUUCACGCCAAGCACCACCAACACCUUGCCUCCGAUUGAAAGCAUGCACAGGCAGAUACCAGUAGAUAUUCCGCAAUAAGCGAGUCCUUUUGGAGAGAAAAGAUAAAAUCAAGUAGUAAAAAGAGGGAGGAGAAGAGGUGAAAAGGCAGAAGAUUAUUAUUUGAUUCUGAUUUGUAGUUCUUUACUGAUAUUUGUUUUUGCCAAAUGUACUUCUUUUAUGAACACUGGAUUUUUUAUGAAUUUCACUUGUGCUACUUAUGGGUUUUAUCAUGAUGUUAUGAACAGAUUUGUAUAAAUAACUCUGUAUCUCCAACUGGGAAGCUGAGAAAUUUGAUCGUUGGAU